rnacentral:misc_RNA from 1 species
GGCACUUACAAAUUGAGCUUAAAUGCCGAUUUGAACCGGCCAGUUCUAGUUCAAUGAGGGGGAAACCGGCCCCCUAAGACCAGUUCUGGUUCAAGGAUUGGGACCAUUGAUUUGAUCCGAUCCCAAGUUUGACCCAGGUCAGUCCCGAUCUGAUUCACGAUUUGAACCAGAUGCGGCCAAGUCUGUUGUCAAAUCUAACAUUUG